rnacentral:rRNA from 1 species
AAACUGUCAGGCUUGAGUGCAGGAGAGGAGAGUGGAAUUCCAUGUGUAGCGGUGAAAUGCGUAGAUAUAUGGAGGAACACCAGUGGCGAAGGCGGCUCUCUGGCCUGUAACUGACGCUGAGGCUCGAAAGCGUGGGGAGCGAACAGGAUUAGAUACCCUGGUAGUCCACGCCGUAAACGAUGAGUGCUAAGUGUUGGAGGGUUUCCACCCUUCAGUGCUGCAGCAAACGCAUUAAGCACUCCGCCUGGGGAGUACGACCGCAAGGUUGAAACUCAAAGGAAUUGACGGGGGCCCGCACAAGCGGUGGAGCAUGUGGUUUAAUUCGAAGCAACGCGAAGAACCUUACCAGGUCUUGACAUCCUUCUGACCGCACUAGAGAUAGUGUUUCUCUUCGGAGCAGAAGUGACAGGUGGUGCAUGGUUGUCGUCAGCUCGUGUCGUGAGAUGUUGGGUUAAGUCCCGCAACGAGCGCAACCCUUAUGUUUAGUUACCAUCAUUGAGUUGGGGACUCUAGACAGACUGCCGGUGACAAACCGGAGGAAGGUGGGGAUGACGUCAAAUCAUCAUGCCCCUUAUGACCUGGGCUACACACGUGCUACAAUGGGGAGUACAACGAGCAGCGAACUAGUGAUAGUAAGCGAAUCUCUGAGAGCUCCUCUCAGUUCGGAUUGUAGGCUGCAACUCGCCUACAUGAAGCCGGAAUCGCUAGUAAUCGCGGAUCAGCACGCCGCGGUGAAUACGUUCCCGGGCCUUGUACACACCGCCCGUCACACCACGAGAGUUUGUAACACCCGAAGUCGGUGAGGUAACCUUUUAGGAGCCAGCCGCCGAAGUGCAU